rnacentral:rRNA from 1 species
AGAGUUUGAUCCUGGCUCAGGAUAAACGCUGGCGGCAUGCCUAAUACAUGCAAGUCGAACGGAGAGUAAGAAGCUUGCUUCUUAUGAUCAGUGGCGAACGGGUGAGUAACACGUGGUUAACCUGCCCAUCAGCCUGGGACAACUUUUGGAAACGAAAGCUAAUACCGGAUAGGAAGAAAUUUUAAAGAGGCGAAUGCCUC